rnacentral:rRNA from 1 species
GACAGAGGCCUCAAGCGUUAGGCGGAAUCACUGGGCUUAAAGCGUGUGUAGGCGGAUCGUUAAGUGUCUUGUGAAAUCCCACGGCUCACCCGUGGAACUGCUGGGCAUACUGGCGAUCUUGGGCCAACUAGGGGCAACUGGAACAAGCGGUGGAGCGGUGAAAUGCGUAGAUAUCGUUUGGAACGCCAAUGGUGAAAACAGCUCGCUGGGGGUAUGCUGACGCUGAGGAGCGAAAGCGUGGGGAGCGAACAGG